rnacentral:rRNA from 1 species
GAUGAACGCUGGCGGCGUGCUUAAUACAUGCAAGUCGAGCGAACAGAUCAGGUGCUUGCUCCUCUGACGUUAGCGGCGUACGUGUCAGUUACAUGUUGAUAACCUACCUUUAAGAUUGGGAUAACUUCGUGAAACCGGUGCCAAUUCCGGAUAAUAUAUUCAACCGCAUGGUUCAAUAGUGCAAGACGGUUUUGCUGUCACCUCUAGAUGUAUCCUCGAGGUAUUAGCUAGUUGGUAAGGUAACGGCUUCCCAAGGCAAGGAUGCGUAGACGACCUGAGAGAGUGAUAGGCGACACGGGAACUGAGACACGGUCCAGGCGACUAAGGGAGGCAGCAGUAGGGAAUGGGACGCAGUGGGCGAAAGCAUGACGGAACGGCGGCGAGUGAGAGAUGGAGGUCUUCGGAGAGUAAAAAUGUGUUAUGGGGGAAGAACAAAUGUGUAAGGAAAUAAGCACGUAGUGACGGUACCUGAUCAGAAAGCCACGGCUAACUACGUG